rnacentral:lncRNA from 1 species
CCCACUCUCUCUCUCUCUCCUUCUAUCUCCCACUCUCUCUCUCUCUCUCUCUCUCUCUGUAUCCCACUCUCUCUAUCUCUCUCUCUCUCCCUCUGUAUCCCACUCUCUCUCUAUCUCUCUCACUCUCUCUAUCUCUCCCUCUAUCGCCCACUCUUUCUCUCUGUCUCUCUCUCUCACUCUCUCUAUCUCUCCCUCUAUCGCCCACUCUCUCUCUCUCCCUCUGUAUCCCACUCUCUCUCUCUCUCUCUCUGUAUCCCACUCUCUCUCUCUCUCUCUCUCUCUGUGUCUAACAUCUCUUUUUACCCUCUCCCUCCCUCGCGCUCACUCUGUCUCUCCACCCGCCCUGUCUUUCCUUUCUCCCUCCCUCCCUCCCUCUCUCCCUCUCGCCCUCCCUCUCUCUCUCUCUCUCUCCCUCUCUCUCUCUCUCUCUCCCUCCCUCCCUCCCUCCCUCCACAUCCUCUCUCUCUCCCUCCCUCCCUCCCUCCCUCUCGCCCUCUCUCUCUCUCUCUCUCUCUCUGUAUCCCACUCUCUCUCUCUCUCUCUGUGUCUAACAUCUCUUUUUACUCUCUCCCUCCCUCGCGCUCACUCUGUCUCUCCACCCUCCCUGUCUUUCCUUUCUCCCUCCCUCCCUCUCUCUCUCUCUCUCUCUCUCCCUCUCUCCCUCCCUCCCUCCCUCUCGCCCUCCCUCUCUCUCCCCCUCUCUCUUUCUCUCUCCCUCCCUCUCUCUCUCUCUCUUUCUCCCUCCCUCCCUCUCUCUCUCUCUCUCCCUCUCUCUCUCUCUCUCUCUCUCUCUCUCUCUCUCUCUCUCUCUCUCUCUGUAGUAAUGAACUCUGUGACUUGGCACCUGCGCAGCCCUGUGGGUUUCUGUGUGGUCUUCCUGGACCAGAGCCUUUACAGGAAGCUGAUGUCAGAGUGGGGACAGAGGGGCGUUAGAGUACCACAGCUCCCCCUGCAGGGCAGCCACCUCCAGACCACUACAGGCUCCACCCCCUCUGUCAGCAUUGUCCUCCGUCUGAUUGGCUCAGAGGCAAGUGACCAAACAAUGAAGAACGGCCUCCAGAAUUCUAUUCCUUUCAUGCUUUU